rnacentral:rRNA from 1 species
UACGGGGGGGGCAAGCGUUGUUCGGAAUUACUGGGCGUAAAGGGCGUGUAGGCGGCCAACUAAGUCCGACGUGAAAUCCCCAGGCUUAACCGAGGAACUGCCCUCCAAACUGCUUGGCUUGAGUCCGGGAGAGGUGAGUGGAAUUCCCAGUGUAGCGGUGAAAUGCGUAGAUAUUGGGAGGAACACCAGUGGCGAAGGCGGCUCACUGGACCGGAACUGACGCUGAGGCGCGAAAGCGUGGGGAGCAAACGGG